CGGAGGGUGCAAGCGUUGUCCGGAUUUAUUGGGUUUAAAGGGUGCGUAGGCGGCCCGUUAAGUCAGUGGUGAAAGCCUCCAGCUCAACUGGAGAACUGCCAUUGAUACUGACGGGCUUGAGUACAGACGAGGUUGGCGGAAUUGAUUGUGUAGCGGUGAAAUGCAUAGAUACAAUCAAGAACUCCGAUUGCGUAGGCAGCUAACUAGGCUGUAACUGACGCUGAGGCACGAAAGCGUGGGGAGCGAACAGGAUUAGAUACCCUGGUAGUCCACGCUGUAAACGAUGAUUACUCGAUGUCGGCGAUAAACUGUCGGCGUCUUAGCGAAAGCGUUAAGUAAUCCACCUGGGGAGUACGCCCGCAAGGGUG
rnacentral:rRNA from 1 species